ensembl:piRNA 21ur-9760 ncRNA
UUUCUUCCACAUUCCACACUC